rnacentral:rRNA from 1 species
UACGUAGGGGCCGAGCGUUGUCCGGAGUUAUUGGGCGUAAAGCGCGCGCAGGCGGCCUCGCGCGCCCGACGUGAAAGCCCCCGGCUUAACCGGGGAGGGUCGUUGGGGACGGCGGGGCUUGAGGGCGGGAGAGGGUGGUGGAAUUCCCGGUGUAGUGGUGAAAUGCGCAGAUAUCAGGAGGAACACCGGUGGCGAAAGCGGUUAUCGAGCUUAUGCCUGACGCUGAGGCACGAAAGCAAGGGGAGCAAACAGG